rnacentral:rRNA from 1 species
GACGAACGCUGGCGGCGUGCUUAACACAUGCAAGUCGAACGGAAAGGCCCCUUUGUUGGUACUCGAGUGGCGAACGGGUGAGUAACACGUGUGUCACCUGCCCUUCCCUUCGGGAUAACUUCAGGAAACUGGGGCUAAUACCGGAAAGGAAUCCUUGCCGCAUGGUGGGGGUUGGAAAGCUUCGGCGGGUUUGGAUGGACUCGGGGCUUAUCAGCUUGUUGGUGGGGUAGUGGCUUACCAAGGUGUUGACGGGUAGCCGGCCCGAGAGGGCGACCGGACACAGUGGGGCUGCGAAACGGACCAGACUGCUACGGGAGGCAGACGUGGGGAGUAUGGCAGAAUGGGCGGAGGCCUGAUGCAGAUAGGCCGCGUGGGGGAGGAAGGCCUUCUGGUUGGAAAACGCGUUCAGCAGGGGCGGUGCGUGUGGUGACGGUACCUGCAGAAGAAGCACCGGCUAACUACGUG